rnacentral:rRNA from 1 species
GCGGCACAGCUCAAUUUGAAAUCUGGCUCUCGGGCCCGAGUUGUAAUUUGUAGAGGAUACUUUUGAUGCGGUGCCUUCCGAGUUCCCUGGAACGGGACGCCAUAGAGGGUGAGAGCCCCGUCUGGUUGGAUGCCAAAUCUCUGUAAAGUUCCUUCAACGAGUCGAGUAGUUUGGGAAUGCUGCUCUAAAUGGGAGGUAUAUGUCUUCUAAAGCUAAAUACCGGCCAGAGACCGAUAGCGCACAAGUAGAGUGAUCGAAAGAUGAAAAGCACUUUGAAAAGAGAGUUAAAAAGUACGUGAAAUUGUUGAAAGGGAAGCGUUUAUGACCAGACUUGGGCUUGGUUAAUCAUCUGGGGUUCUCCCCAGUGCACUUUUCCAGUCCAGGCCAGCAUCAGUUUUCCCCGGGGGAUAAAGGCGGCGGGAAUGUGGCUCUCUUCGGGGAGUGUUAUAGCCCGUCGUGUAAUACCCUGGGGGGGACUGAGGUUCGCGCAUCUGCAAGGAUGCUGGCGUAAUGGUCAUCAACGACCCGUCUUGAAACACGGACCAAGGAGUCGUCUUCGUAUGCGAGUGUUCGGGUGUCAAACCCCUACGCGUAAUGAAAGUGAACGCAGGUGAGAGCUUCGGCGCAUCAUCGACCGAUCCUGAUGUUCUCGGAUGGAUUUGAGUAAGAGCAUACGGGGCCGGACCCGAAAGAAGGUGAACUAUGCCUGUAUAGGGUGAAGCCAGAGGAAACUCUGGUGGAGGCUCGCAGCGGUUCUGACGUGCAAAUCGAUCGUCAAAUAUGGGCAUGGGGGCGAAAGACUAAAUCGAACCUUCUAGUAGCUGGUUUCCGCCGAAGU